rnacentral:misc_RNA from 1 species
GAUGAAGAACGUAGCGAAAUGCGAUAAGUAGUGUGAAUUGCAGAAUUCCGUGAAUCAUCGAAUCUUUGAACGCACAUUGCGCCUUCUGGUAUUCCGGAAGGCAUGCCUGUUCGAGAGUCAUUGCUGCCCUCAAGCACGGCUUGUGUGUUGGGCCUCCGUCCUCCUCCCGGGGGACGGGCCCGAAAGGCAGCGGCGGCACCGCGUCCGGUCCUCGAGCGUAUGGGGCUUCGUCACCCGCUCUUGUAGGCCCGGCCGGCGCUUGCCGACACAUCAAUCUUUUUUCCAGGUUGACCUCGGAUCAGGUAGGGAUACCCGCUGAACUUAAGCAUAUCAAUAAGCGGAGGA